AACGAACGCUGGCGGCAUGCCUAACACAUGCCAGUCGAACGAGACCUUCGGGUCUAGUGACGCACGGGUGCGUAACGCGUGGGAACCUGCCCUUAGGUUCGGAAUAACUCCCCGAAAGGGGUGCUAAUACCGGAUAAUGUCUUCGGACCAAAGAUUUAUCGCCUUUGGAUGGGCCCGCGUUGGAUUAGCUAGUUGGUAGGGUAAAAGCCUACCAAGGCGACGAUCCAUAGCUGGUCUGAGAGGAUGAUCAGCCACACUGGGACUGAGACACGGCCCAGACUCCUACGGGAGGCAGCAGUGGGGAAUAUUGGACAAUGGGCGAAAGCCUGAUCCAGCAAUGCCGCGUGAGUGAUGAAGGCCUUAGGGUUGUAAAGCUCUUUUACCCGGGAUGAUAAUGACAGUACCGGGAGAAUAAGCUCCGGCUAACUCCGUG
rnacentral:rRNA from 1 species